CAGCCCACACCACAGCCACACAGAUCCGAGCCGCGUCUGCGACCUACACCACAGCUCAUGGCAACACUGGCUCCUUAAUCCACUGAUCGAGGCCAGGGAUUGAACCCGCAACCUCAUGGUUCCUAGUCGGAUUUGUUUCCGCUGCGCCACGAUGGGAACUCCUGUAAUCAAUUUAUUAAAUAAAACAAAUUAAAAGCCUAGGUAAGUCUUAAGGAUUGGGCUUCUGGUUUUUUUAAUGAAUUAGUAAGUUCGUUUCCACAAGAGGAAUUAUUGAGCAAUUGACCUUUUUCACCACUCAUCUGAAAUAUUAUCUGUAUUGUAAAAUGUAUUUUUACGUAUUUACGGACAAGCUGCUGGACUUUCUAUUCUGUUCCAACAAUCUCUCAGUGUAUUCCCAUAUCAAAGCCAUAUUAAUUUUUGUGUAGCUUUGUGUUGUUUAAUUAGAUCUCUUUGACUAAAGCCUUCUUCACGACUCUUCCUUUUUAAUGUGUAACUAGAUUAUUUCAUGACCUUUCAGAUCAUUUCAGUAAGCCAAAAUCCCAAGAGCAAGUGUACUUGUAACUGAGUAAAAUUUACAGAUAAAUUAGGUACAACUUAGAGCAUUCAUUCAAAUUCUCUUUGUCCCGCAUCAAAGUUUCACAGUUUUCCUGACAUUUUCCUAAUUUUCUUGAUGUUCUGCAUAUUCCUUGAAUUCAUUUCACUUUUAUCUCUCUAAAAAAUGUGUGUAUGAUUAUUUUAGCGUCGAGUGGGUCACUUCUAUGAAGCUUGCUAUAUAAUUGGCUUUAAUUGCGGCAUACACGUGACAUAAAAUUUACCAUCUAAACCGUGUUUAAGUGGACAGUUUCGUGGCAUUAAGUACACUCGUGUUGUGCAACCAUCACCACCAUCCACCCACAGAACUACUUCAUCUUGCAAAACUGAGACCUUAUAACCAUUAAAUACCAACUCUCCAUUCCCUACCCCCUCCAGCUCUUGGAACCCACCAUUCUAUUUUCUGUUUCUCUAAAUGUGACAAGUCUAAGGACUUCAUGUAAGUAGAAUUAUACAGCAUCUGUCCUUAUGUGGCUGGUUUAUUUCCCAUAGCAGAAUGUCUUCAAGGCUCAUCUAUGUUGUAGCAUGUGUCAGAAUUUCUUUCCUUUUUUGAGCUAGUAUUCCAUCGUAUGUAGAGACCACAUUUUGUUUGUUUUUUGCUUUAAGAAGCAAAAAAAAAAAAAAGGGCUGCACCUGCGGUAUAUGGAAGUUUCCAGGCUGGGAGUCGAAUCAGAGUACGCCGCAGCCACAGCAAGGCGGGAUCCGAGCUGUGUCUGUGACCUAUA
rnacentral:lncRNA from 1 species